GCUAGUUCUACAGGUUUUAGGAGGUAUUCUUACCAUUAUAACCACCAUAACUAACCAUGUUCAGCUGAAGUACGGCACUUCCCCAGUAAGACUGGCAAGAGCAGUGUACAUCCCAUUCUAACCCCCAUAUUCUAGAAUGUCCUAGAACUCUACAAACACUCCACCUCAACUCAAGAAAGUAGAUGACAAUGCCUCCACUUGAUAAAAGUGGUCGCUGCACUUCAUUGACACUUCACAGCAAUUCUUGAGACGGGUGGCACUGUGCUCGACUCUGUGGACUGGAGGUUGACAAAGUUAAGGAUCGUUUAAGAAUACGGGGGUAAGUCUGCAGGCUUAACCUACAACUCCUUAACUUGUCAUUUUGUGAGCAUUAUAUGCUGUCCUAUCUGUGGCCCCAUUUCUGUGUACUAUCUCCUGUUGACUCUCUUGUCGGCAUAGUCUGUGAUUGCAAACGGUAAUUUUAUGUUUGCAAAUACAGAAGGUCAUGGCAGUUGGCUUGCCCACUGCGCUGGCUUUCCAGUUAAGUCUUCUUGCUGUUGUAGUUUCAACACCUGGCCAUGGCAACCACAUUACAUUGGGAGUGAAGCAUAAAAAUGGCUACAUACCCAGAUAUCAGUAUGCAUUAUAGACGUCAGGGAGCCAAUGAUCUAAAGUCUCCAUUGCAGUUCGCGUUAUAGUCUUAUGCCAUAGCUUUUGCAUAAAUGUAAGGCACUUUUCUUCAAAUUUUGAAAUAAUUUUUUGCCAACUUGUAAUGCUGUUCUUUAGGGAUGUGUAAAUAUUGCAAAAUUAUGAAUAGUUAGUUGAAUAACGCCUUAUUCAAUUCGGCCUUAGAAUUAAUUUGGCCAUCCCGGCAGACAUAGUAGACAUAAAACACAAGAAGUUAUGCAGUGGAACAUGCUAUACAUUGCUCAAGGAGCCACACUUUUCCUUUCUAAAUCGCUAUCGUUCACUCUCCAGAAAAUUCCGGGUGCGCGAAUAAACUCUGUAUUUCUUCCGAAAGCUCCAUUUGGCCUUUUAUAGGGCCCCUCACCAGGUACCAUUGCAAAUGUUAGUUAUGCACUGGAAGUGCUAAAACUGAUUGUUUCACCGAUAUAAUUUUUCUAGGCGGUCUAUUAUUGGAGGAGAUAGAAGAAAUUGAAUGCCCUCAUACUGCCAGGAGGCGAGUGCAGCUGCCCAACAGAGGCACUCUCUCCUAUUUGAGUAGCAUCUGCAAGCGAUGGACCACAUCGAGUUGACAGUACAAUGUGGCACAAGUUUCACUGGACACCAGCUAAGGGAACUGUUAUAGAACAUGGGGAAACCCUUAUGAACAAGAAAAUUAGUUUUGCAGGUAUACAGCUGCAAGUACAAGUUUCACAGCACAUGCCACAACAUGAUAGCUGCACUGCAGUUAACAACAGACGAUGACUUAUGCUGAUAUUCAUCAAUACCUACGACUUUGAAAGGAAUAAAGUGCGACCCAUGUGGAUAAUUUUCCAUGCAUGCCAUGAAAGUGGCACCACUGUUGCUGUGUGCGACACCUGCAUGCAGUAGAUAGCGCAGCUGCAGGAUAGUGCCAGAACAGCUCAGAUUUGCAGUGCUACUAUGGCCUACUAGAGCUGCCGCUCACCAAACUUUUGCAUGGAGACUCAUCUAUAUCUGCAGUAUCCUAAAAUAGGCUUUCUCAUGCGGUCCAAAAUUUUGUUGCAGUUGCCCUUUUAUUCACCCUGAAUGCACACCUCCACUUUUCAAACAGGUUUCCUGAUGAUGGGCUCAGAAAAUGUGGCACCUGCUGGAAUCUUCUGACCAAAUGGCUGAUUUCCUUGGCUUCAUUUACGUGAACUUGAACUCCAGUGGGUCAAGACAGGACGACCCAGGUUAAUGCGAACAUGUUCACAUGCAUUUCUACAAUUGGGCCGAGCGAGCCAGGCCGAUGCAAGCUGCCCCAACACUUUGUUGACCUGGAUAGAUAGCAUUUACAUGAACCCAAUAAUUGCAUUUCAGCUCGAAGCCGACUCGCCAUGGCAUUGUCGUGUUCGUGUAAAUGUAGUGCUUGUUACUACACCCACAGCAGGGAUUUGCCAAGAAGUCGGUAGUUUUAACCUGGUCUCAAAAACAAUAGUAACUGAAAUUGUCUGUCAAAAGUUGGAGACAGGAGGCAUUGGAAAAAUCUUUAUAUAUCGUAAUUUUGAGGAGUAAUACUUUCAGAGGAGAAACAAUGGAGACUUCCAAGAAUUGUCAAGCUUGUCUUGUGUGGGUACCUAUUGCUAGACACGGACCCUUUUCCUGGCAUCCUUCGAGUUCACCAGACCACAUCGAAUCGCCGUCGCACCCAAUUAAGGUGCGCAGAAGCAUGUCUAACACGUUCCCGGACCUGUCAGACAAGUGGGCGACUCCCACCUCGUGCGCUGCAUGUGGAGCUAUUGUCCCACUGCUUGACUCUUCCCGAAAGGGCAACGGGAGCCUGCACGGUUCCAGGUAGUUGAUCCUGGUCCCAAGCAAAGCUGCUUUGUAGCUUGGAAAGCUCGUUCGAAAACAACCCGUCUCCUCCAGCUGAGCGCUUUCAGACGGGGAUGCAACACCAAGGCAACGCCGGCUGUAAGUCACCGUGAAGCCCCCAAAGCCACACCAUCUGCCGAUUGUAACGGCAGUUGCAGACCUGGAGGCAAUACCGGUGGCAAGUCAUCCCUCGAACAGUGGAGCACUUGGAGCGACCCCCUGAGCCGAAUGUGACUGCACUUACACGGGCACCUACCAUUGGCCGAAAAUGACGACACCUGAGCGGGCUCCACGAUUGGCCAAAAGUGACGUGACCCCGAGACACCGAAGGGGUUAAAAGCUAGAGACAGGGAGCAGAAAGAAGCAUUCAUUCAUCCAUUCAUCUCUUUCGGGCUUCUUGCCGCAGGCCACAGCGUCCGAUUUGCUGCCGGCCAUCAAUGACUUUAUGACUGUUAAUUCAUGUUUUUACUGUAAAUAAUGUAAAUAAACCUCCUGUUUUCAACUCAAAA